GACGAACGCUGGCGGCGUGCCUAAUACAUGCAAGUAGAACGCUGAAGAGAGGAGCUUGCUCUUCUUGGAUGAGUUGCGAACGGGUGAGUAACGCGUAGGUAACCUGCCUUGUAGCGGGGGAUAACUAUUGGAAACGAUAGCUAAUACCGCAUAACAAUGGAUGACACAUGUCAUUUAUUUGAAAGGGGCAAUUGCUCCACUACAAGAUGGACCUGCGUUGUAUUAGCUAGUAGGUGAGGUAAUGGCUCACCUAGGCGACGAUACAUAGCCGACCUGAGAGGGUGAUCGGCCACACUGGGACUGAGACACGGCCCAGACUCCUACGGGAGGCAGCAGUAGGGAAUCUUCGGCAAUAGGGGCAACCCUGACCGAGCAACGCCGCGUGAGUGAAGAAGGUUUUCGGAUCGUAAAGCUCUGUUGUAAGUCAAGAACGGGUGUGAGAGUGGAAAGUUCACACUAUGACGGUAGCUUACCAGAAAGGGACGGCUAACUACGUG
rnacentral:rRNA from 1 species